AUUUCUCUACUCACCUGUCUCCGAAUCCGCCGUGGUGUUUCAAGCGAGUCAAGAUUCCAGAUCGCGCCCCAGGCUGGACUCGGAAUUACUGCCCCGCGGGUCUGCAUUUUCACAGCGGCAGGU
rnacentral:misc_RNA from 1 species